ACUGAAUAGAUACCCAGGUAGUCCACGCCGUAAACGAUGGAUACUAGCUGUUCGGAGCAAAUCUGAGUGGCUAAAGCGAAAGUGAUAAGUAUCCCACCUGGGGAGUACGCACGCAAGUGUGAAACUCAAAGGAAUUGACGGGGGCCCGCACAAGCGGUGGAGCAUGUGGUUUAAUUCGAUGAUACGCGAGGAACCUUACCAGGGCUUAAAUGUAGAUUGACAGGACUGGAAACAGUUUUUCUUCGGACAAUUUACAAGGUGCUGCAUGGUUGUCGUCAGCUCGUGCCGUGAGGUGUCAGGUUAAGUCCUAUAACGAGCGCAACCCCUGUCGUUAGUUGCCAGCGAGUCAUGUCGGGAACUCUAACGAGACUGCCAGUGUAAACUGUGAGGAAGGUGGGGAUGACGUCAAAUCAUCACGGCCCUUACGUCCUGGGCCACACACGUGCUACAAUGGUAGGUACAGAGAGCAGCCACUGCGCGAGCAGGAGCGAAUCUACAAAACCCUAUCUCAGUUCGGAUCGGA
rnacentral:rRNA from 1 species